UCCAGACUCCUACGGGAGGCAGCAGUGGGGAAUAUUGCACAAUGGGGGAAACCCUGAUGCAGCAACGCCGCGUGAGUGAAGAAGUAUUUCGAUAUGUAAAGCUCUAUCAGCAGGGAAGAAGAUGACGGUACCUGAGUAAGAAGCCCCGGCUAACUACGUGCCAGCAGCCGCGGUAAUACGUAGGGGGCAAGCGUUAUCCGGAUUUACUGGGUGUAAAGGGGGCGCAGACGGCGAUGCAAGCCAGGAGUGAAAGCCCGGGGCCCAACCCCGGGACUGCUCUUGGAACUGCGUGGCUGGAGUGCAGGAGGGGCAGGCGGAAUUCCUGGUGUAGCGGUGAAAUGCGUAGAUAUCAGGAGGAACACCGGUGGCGAAGGCGGCCUGCUGGACUGCAACUGACGUUGAGGCCCGAAAGCGUGGGGAGCAAACAGGAUUAGAUACCCCAGUAC
rnacentral:rRNA from 1 species